GGAGAGGUGGCUCAGUGGUUAAGAGCACUGGAUGCUCUUCCAGAGGUCCUGAGUUCAAUUCCCAGCAACCACA
rnacentral:tRNA from 1 species